rnacentral:rRNA from 1 species
UGGGGAAUUUUGGCCAAUGGGCGCAAGCCUGAUCCAGCCAUUCCGCGUGCAGGACGAAGGCCUUCGGGUUGUAAACUGCUUUUGUACGGAACGAAAAGCCCUUCUCUAAUACAGAGGGGUCAUGACGGUACCGUAAGAAUAAGCACCGGCUAACUACGUGCCAGCAGCCGCGGUAAUACGUAGGGUGCAAGCGUUAAUCGGAAUUACUGGGCGUAAAGCGUGCGCAGGCGGUUAUGUAAGACAGUUGUGAAAUCCCCGGGCUCAACCUGGGAAUUGCAUCUGUGACUGCAUAGCUAGAGUACGGUAGAGGGGGAUGGAAUUCCGCGUGUAGCAGUGAAAUGCGUAGAUAUGCGGAGUAACACCGAUGGCGAAGACAAUCCCCUGGGCCUGCACUGACGCUCAUGCACGAAAGCGUGGGGAGCAAACA